rnacentral:lncRNA from 1 species
UCCGGCUGAUAUCAGCACGGGGGGUAGCCCGCGUGAAUUGGCAAGGGCUCCCAUGCCAAGGGCAGGGCAGGGCUGGGUGGCUGGGUCCGGCUGAUAUCAGGACGUUCACGUCCCAUAGCCAAUUCACUGUCAAGCGAUUGCAACGGCGCCAUCGCCAAUCCUCCUCUCUCUCCUGUCUCUCUUCUUAUUACCCCUUUCUCUGCUAUCUCUUGUCUUAUAACUCCUUCCUCUACUUUGACGUGUGCUCUCUAUCUCAUGGCUCCUUUCUCUUGUUUGAGCUCCUGUCUGUUCGCUUCAAUUAACUGCUCCAUUGGUUCAGUGUACACCACUACCAUGAGUAAAAGUGUAGAGUUUUCGCCUCGAGCCUUUUCUUGCAAAUGGGACAUCACCAGAGGCUUGGGAGAUCCUGUGACCAUUGGUCAGCCGGUGGACAUCCCUCAUAUUCCAGAUCAACAAUGACGGAGUGAUUUCUAUUUACCUUGCUGGCGCUGCGAUUAUGAAAGUCUUGUCCCUGCUUUUUAACGACUACAACUCUGGUAUUGAAAAUCUUGUCCUCAUUGUAGUUGCCCCGUUUGCAUCAAGUCCACCUGGCUGUUCAAUUUGCUCGUGCAAACACAGGUAGACUAGAACGCAAUUUGUAACAUUGUCUUGUUAAGUGCCUUGGUGAUUUUAGCGCAAUGGUUCUGGCUUUUCGUCAACAAGUCUUAUUUGUAUUGCGCACUCCUUACUUGUACGUCCAUUUUAGUGUUACCGAUGAUCCUGGCAGUGUAAGCUUUGUCAGAGUAUAGUUUGUUGCACGACAAUAACUGUAUUCUGAAUUUUUCGUAUAAAAAAGUAGCGAUUUACCUGAGCAAGUGCGUUUGAUGGUUACAGAGGUUGUGUGUUAUUCUGAACCCAAUUUUCAGUGAAGUAUGUCGCUAAUUUUUAUCCUUGUAUCAGUUUCAUAGUGGCAUUUUAAUCAGUUUUUCAAAGUAAAUGCUGAACUGCUUGAAUUGCCCUGCCCUG